rnacentral:rRNA from 1 species
UCCUACGGGGCGCAGCAGUGAGGAAUAUUGGACAAUGGGCGCAAGCCUGAUCCAGCCAUGCCGCGUGCAGGAAGACGCAUCUAUGGUGUGUAAACUGCUUUUGUACGGGAAGAAACACUCCUACGUGUAGGAGCUUGACGGUACCGUAAGAAUAAGGAUCGGCUAACUCCGUGCCAGCAGCCGCGGUAAUACGGAGGAUCCAAGCGUUAUCCGGAAUCAUUGGGUUUAAAGGGUCCGUAGGCGGUUUGAUAAGUCAGUGGUGAAAGCCCAUCGCUCAACGAUGGAACGGCCAUUGAUACUGUCAGACUUGAAUUACUGGGAAGUAACUAGAAUAUGUAGUGUAGCGGUGAAAUGCUUAGAUAUUACAUGGAAUACCAAUUGCGAAGGCAGGUUACUACCAGUGGAUUGACGCUGAUGGACGAAAGCGUGGGGAGCGAACAGGAUUAGAUACCCUAGUA